GCUGGGCAUGGUGGUGCAUGCCUGUAAUCCCAGCUACUCUGGAGGCUGAGGUAGGAGAAUUGCUUGAACCCAGGAGGCAGAGGUUGUAGUGAGCUGAGAUUAUGCCACUGCUCUUCAGCCUGGGUGAUAGAGCCAGACUCCAUCUCAG
rnacentral:SRP_RNA from 1 species